rnacentral:rRNA from 1 species
AGUUGCGAAGGCGGCUCUCUGGACUGUAACUGACGCUGAGGCACGAAAGCGUGGGGAGCAAACAGGAUUAGAUACCCUGGUAGUCCACGCUGUAAACGAUGAGUACUAGGUGUCGGGGGUUACCCCCUUCGGUGCCGCAGCUAACGCAUUAAGUACUCCGCCUGGGAAGUACGCUCGCAAGAGUGAAACUCAAAGAACUUGACGGGGACCCGCACAAGUAGCGGAGCAUGUGGUUUAAUUCGAAGCAACGCGAAGAACCUUACCUAAGCUUGACAUCCCAAUGACAUCUCCUUAAUCGGAGAGUUCCUUUCGGGGACAUUGGUGACAGGUGGUGCAUGGUUGUCGUCAGCUCGUGUCGUGAGAUGUUGGGUUAAGUCCCGCAACGAGCGCAACCCUUGUCUUUAGUUUCCAUCCUUCAGUUGGGCACUCUAGAGAGACUGCCAGGGCUAACCUGGAGGAAGGUGGGGAUGACGUCAAAUCAUCAUGCCCCUUAUGCUUAGGGCUACACACGUGCUACAAUGGGUAGUACAGAGGGUUGCCAAGCCGUAAGGUGGAGCUAAUCCCUUAAAGCUACUCUCAGUUCGGAUUGUAGGCUGAAACUCGCCUACAUGAAGCUGGAGUUACUAGUAAUCGCAGAUCAGAAUGCUGCGGUGAAUGCGUUCCCGGGUCUUGUACACAC